CGGGAAGUAGCGCAGCUUGGUAGCGCAUUUGCUUCGGGAGCAAGGGGUCGGCGGUUCGAAUCCGCUCUUCCCGACCA
rnacentral:tRNA from 1 species